rnacentral:rRNA from 1 species
UCUACAGCCAUACCACCUGAAUGCACCCAAUCUCAUCUGACCUCAGAAGCUAGGCAGAGUUGGGCCUGAUAAGUACUUAAAUUGGAGAAAUAGAUGUGAAAUAACUUCCAAGUAAGAAGCCUCUGCGUUGCUGCAGA